rnacentral:tRNA from 1 species
CCCAGGUGGUGAAACUGGUAGACGCAGGGGACUCAAAAUCCCCCGCCGCAAGGCGUGCCGGUUCGAUUCCGGCCCUGGGCACCAU